rnacentral:rRNA from 1 species
AUGAGAUGCUUAAGUUGGAACUGCCGGGGGCUUGGGAACCCCGAGGCAGUUCGUGAGCUUCACAAAGUUGUGAAGCAAGAAGGGCCUGCCUUACUUUUUGUUAUGGAGACAAAAAUAAGGGCGAAGAGGGUGGAAAGUUUACAGCACAGUCUAGGUUUUGCUGGUUGUUUGGCGGUGGACAGUGCGGGACUCAGUGGUGGCAUCGGGUUGUUUUGGUCAAGAGAUGUUACAGUUGAGUUAAGAAAUUUUAGUUCUGGCCACAUCGAUGUGGUGGUGCAGAAAGCUGAUCAGACCUCCUUGGUUUGGAGGUUUACGGGGUUCUACGGUGUCCCGAGAAGCGAGGACCGGCAUCAUAGCUAG